GGCGGACGGGUGAGUAACACGUGAGCAACCUGCCUAUCAGAGGGGGAUAACGAUUGGAAACGAUCGCUAAUACCGCAUGACAUAGCGGAACCGCAUGGUUCUGUUAUCAAAGAUUUUAUCGCUGAUAGAUGGGCUCGCGUCCGAUUAGAUAGUUGGUGGGGUAACGGCCUACCAAGUCGACGAUCGGUAGCCGGACUGAGAGGUCGAACGGCCACAUUGGGACUGAGACACGGCCCAGACUCCUACGGGAGGCAGCAGUGGGGGAUAUUGCACAAUGGGGGAAACCCUGAUGCAGCGACGCCGCGUGAGGGAAGACGGUCCUCUGGAUUGUAAACCUCUGUCUUCGGGGACGAAACGAGACGGUACCCGAGGAGGAAGCCACGGCUAACUACGUGCCAGCAGCCGCGGUAAUACGUAGGUGGCAAGCGUUGUCCGGAAUCACUGGGUGUAAAGGGAGCGUAGGCGGGCAGGCAAGUCAGGCGUGAAAUAUAUCGGCUCAACCGGUAACGGCGCUUGAAACUGCAGGUCUUGAGUGAAGUAGAGGUUGGCGGAAUUCCUAGUGUAGCGGUGAAAUGCGUAGAUAUUAGGAGGAACACCAGUGGCGAAGGCGGCCAACUGGGCUUUUACUGACGCUGAGGCUCGAAAGUGUGGGGAGCAAA
rnacentral:rRNA from 1 species